GACGAACGCUGGCGGCGUGCUUAACACAUGCAAGUCGAACGGUAAGGCCCUUCGGGGUACACGAGUGGCGAACGGGUGAGUAACACGUGGGUGAUCUGCCCUGCACUUCGGGAUAAGCCUGGGAGACUGGGUCUAAUACCGGAUAGGACCCUGGGAUGCAUGUCCUGGGGUGGAAAGCUUUUGCGGUGUGGGAUGGGCCCGCGGCCUAUCAGCUUGUUGGUGGGGUGAUGGCCUACCAAGGCGACGACGGGUAGCCGGCCUGAGAGGGUGACCGGCCACACUGGGACUGGGAUACGGCCCAGACUCCUACGGGAGGCAGCAGUGGGGAAUAUUGCACAAUGGGCGCAAGCCUGAUGCAGCGACGCCGCGUGAGGGAUGACGGCCUUCGGGUUGUAAACCUCUUUCAGCACCGACGAAGCGCAAGUGACGGUAGGUGCAGAAGAAGGACCGGCCAACUACGUGCCAGCAGCCGCGGUAA
rnacentral:rRNA from 1 species